UUGUUUAGAUGCAUCUGCGGUGGGAUCAUGGCCGGGCACUGUUCCCCAGCUUUCUGGCAGCUGGGGAGAAAACGAAGAAGCGAUAUAUGGACAUACUUUGUUUACAUACAAGUGGAAAACAAAACGGAAUGUGUCGUGGAAAAAGACGGGGAGAAAUGCGGCCACAAAAUAACGGGGAAAAACACGACAAACUUAAAAAGGCAUUUCGAGCUUCCAUGGUGAAAUCGAGAUUCAAGAUAGAGCAUCAGUGAAGCAAGUCCCACCCUAGAAGAUGGACAAGCCAACUAGUGCUCAGGAUUUCUUUGCCACAAGGAGGUGCAGGACUGUAUAUUGCUGUGAAGCCUGAGAGUACAAAAGUGACAGGAGCAAAAAAUACACAAAAUUGCUUUGGGUUUAGAGUGUGAAAAUGUUUAAAAAAAAAAAAAAAACCACAACGCUGGCCUCAGGAACAACAUACAUGUGCUCAGCUCUCUCGUGUCCACACACCCUGCAUACAUGCAUCAUUACUAGAUGUCAACAUGUGUAGAAGGGCAGCAAACCGAAAUGUGCACAUCUGAGGAAUAGUUUGAAGACGUGAUUGUGUGAGUGUUGGCACCCAGCAGACAGCAGGGUGAUACUGGAGGUGUGGGCGACGGCCUCACAGUUUGUGUGAUGUGCUCUGACACACAGAUGGCAGCUGACACAACACAGAUAGACUCUGUCCUCCAACACCCACUCUCACUGCUCCUCCCUCUUCAAAAUGGAUGUUCUCACUCCUGCUCACUGCUACAUGCCUCCAUCAUCUGACACCAUAAACAUGCAGACAGACAGGCACAUUCAUGCAAAAAAUAUUAUCGCUGUCUCCUUUCCCUGGUUUCCUUUCUUUACUCGUUUGCGUCCUCACAGUGCCUCAGUGUGACUGAAGCAUUUUGGAUGAGAUACAAGCAAAUAUGCAAAGAGGAAGUCACAGAUGAAUGAGCAGUCGCUAUCGGCAGCUUCCUUUGUCAGAACAGUCCACAUGCGAAGCACACGUUUGAAUUGUGCUCGAAAAUGAAAGAUCAGCAGCAAAUUCUGCCCCGUUUUUCCCCUCUACCUGGACCCUACAGAGACGUUUAUGCCGUGCGACUGAGAUUUUACCCCCACCUCGCUGCUAAUGAAUAUUCUUGGCAAAUGUGAAAAAUGUUAAUGCAAGCAAAUGAUGCCUAUAUCUGUGUGCAGAUUGUUUUGAAUGCCUUCCAGGCUGGAGCUGAUUCACACACACUAGCCCUGUUUUCCUCCAGCCAAAUCACAACCUCUCAGUUCAUUACUUCUGACAGGAAACAGAGGGCUAUGAAGGAUCGACGCUCUCACACACACAUGCACUUCUUCUCUCCUCAUGCCGGUUCCAGUGGCAUUACAGGAACCAAACUACCGUGUGGAUGUCUUCAGAUCUUCUGCUCUGAUGACAACAGCUUUGGGCUAAAUGCUAACAUUAGCAUCUCUCUUUCUUACUUAAACACACACUAGCACAGGACAGUUUCAGAUCUCUUCUUGUCCUUCCUAUCCAUAACCUGAAUUACCGAACUAUAAAGUUAACUUGACCUAUCACACAUCUCCCUGUGCACCGACUAUGAUCUUUAAGGGACAAGUACUGGCUCCUGUAGUAUUCCUAUAAUAUUUUAGCAGGCCAUUUCUAUGAUCAUUCAGAAACAUCUUUGCUGCUGAAAAUUCAUCCCACAUUUUCUGGACAGAUGCUCAGAUCUCUCUAUAUAUAUACGGUCAGUGAAAACUGUUACAGGAGGCACGUACGACAGGCUUGUUAGCCCUCCAGCUUUUGACAUGAGUUCACCACCUUUGCUUGACUCCUGGCAUUAAUGUGGAUGUUACUUUGACAUCUACCACCCACCUCGGCAUCAUUUCAAACCAAGCGCACACCCCCUAUGGCAGGGAAACGUCGAAAAGGUGUUGACCUGGCCUCCAAACUCCCCACAUCCCAAUGGAAGCCCAACCUUGCAACCCACAGGACCCAAAAGAUCUGCUGCCAACGUCCCGGUGCCUAACACCACAGGACACCAAAGGUCGUGUAGUCAUGACCUGACCGGUCAGUGCUUUUGUUUUGAAAGUACGAAGGGGAUCUACACAGUUUUAGCCAGGUGAUUUUAACCCUCUGAACCCCAACAUGCACAAGUGGGUUGGAAAGUCAUGUUAUCUUUUAAAGAAAUCACCAAAAGUCACACUAUUUUUCAGAGCCGGAAAUUGUAAAAACAGAAAGAAUUGUCAUAUUUUCAUGGGAAAUGGCCAAACCUAAGCUUAAAGUUAAUGUAUUUCAUCAAAAUCACUUAAUUCUACAUGUCUUGUUUGAAAUUUUGCAAAAAAAAUUGACACUUUUACCAAAUUCUGCAUGAAACUAAAAAAUUCUACACUCCUUGUUGCUACCAAGAAGCCUGUAGUGACUAGUAACAACCAAGUGGCAAAAUUCAUAUACUUUUCAGCUGAACUGCAGGCAGUGUAGCAGUUAAGAGACAAGUAUGUAAAUAAAUUAAAAAUAUAACUUGUACAAUUUUUAUAGUAUGUAGAGCAACCAUAUUUUUUCCAGCAUUUGCGGACACUUAGAAAAAUCAGUUUUGGGAAAUAGAAAAUUGAAGAAAUGCAUCUUUUUUGUAUGAUUUAUGGCAUUUAAACAGUGUCAUACAAAAUGCAUUUUUGAGUUCUUUCUACUUCUAGCCAUGGUUGUGCUGCUUCCAUAGAGGUGCAUAACUUUAUAUUGCAGUAAGUAAAAAUGUGACAGGAGCAAAAAAACAUACAGAAACUGCUGUGAGUUCAGAAGGUUAGUGUUGUUGCUGAUGAGUGUGAUUUGCAUUUAAUCAUGCGCAAAAUUCUCCUGUUAGUGUUUCAAGUAUUAGUUCACACGUCAAAGCGUUGGACAAAGUGACUUUAGAGUUUAUUUAGGUGUCAAACAAAAAGUUGAGAGAUCAUCUACGCUUGUUACAAUGCAUCCCUCAAUCCAUACUGGUGGAGAUGUUUCGCUAAACAAAGCCAACCUCUCAACACCCUGAAAAACUUUGAUGUGGUUACAAACUGACAGAUUUUCUUUUAAAAACGUGGCAGAUUUGCACACUGUUUUUUUUGCUCUGCGCACUGAAGUGCACACAUGUAUCUGAGGGUGAGUGCAGGCAGCAGGAAGAGAAUGCAUGAGAGAGACGGCGAGAUAGUGUUCAUGCGAGUGAGAUAGAUAGCCGGGGUGUUGCAGGGAUUAAUGUGAAUUUGUAACUUAAGGGCAUGAGUUGCUGCUCGAUAGAAUCUAGAGCAUCAGCUCCUUUCUGCAGGCGAUGAAUUUGUUGCUUUUUUUUUUUUUUUUUUUUUUUUACCAAACUUCUAUUGCAUUCCAGUGCACACACUCACUUUUUAAAGGUUAUACGCUGUGGACCUGUAUGCUGUAAGCUUGGUUAACAACUUGAAUGAAUGCAGGCUCUGUUAGUGUGGUUUUUUCUGCCUAUUUGUGCACCAUCUUCCACCGCUGAAUGCUUUUAACAGUAAGUGUGCAGGAUACUGUCGCUAUUGUUAAACAGUCAGUGUUUGUAUGCCAUUCCAGUGUGGCUGUAACUGCAGCAUGAUGCACUCUUCUGCCUCUUAAUGGAUCUUUUUGUCAGUGCUGGGGUGUAUAGAGUCGGAGUGGUUUUGUUAUCUGAGCGAGGCGGUUUUUUUUCUUCCCUUUUUCCUCCCCUCUCUCUUUUCUCACUCUAUAAAUGCUGUAGUUUGUAUCUCAGGGGAAAUGAUACAUGUCAGUAUCUCCAUGACUGACAGCCCAUCCAUUACGGUUUAUCGCAUGUGUGUGAGAAAGAGAGACAAGUAUGGAGGGAAGCCAGGUUCAUCAUUCACACUGCAGUUAACCGUAUUAGUGAAGUGGCUGCGAUGCUGAAGGCGCCUGCUUGAUGAUUAGAUUCUAUCAUUUGUGUGUUUUUUGGAGACAGUUGGUCUGUGUGGUCAAAGAUGGAGGUUUUGUGGUCAAGCAUCAUGGUUGUAGAUACAGCUUGAAUAUGGGCAUCUAACACUUAAUUUUCUGCAUUCUUGUGAUUUUUUUGCACAAAUUUGUGCCUUUUCUGCAUCUCUUUACGGUAGAUUUAUGAAGAAAAUUCAGGCAUAAUGAGUAAAAAUAAUCCAUUCAUCCAUAGUUUUGUUGGGGACAUAGAGUAUUUAUAAAAGGCCUGUUGAUUUGUGGACUCCUGUUCUGAAGCGUUGAGUUUUGCAGUUGGUCGUCGCCAUCUUGUCCUUUUGGAACUAGACCUAAUAAAUAAGCGGUGAAUCUGACGGAGCACACUGAUAUAAUACUAAUCCAUCAAUCACAAGCUGUCUCGGCCUUGAAACAGACCCUGCUUUAAUGUUUACUUCACACUAAAUGGGGCCUUGAUUUACAAAGUGAAUCCCUUAUUUCGGGCUGGGCGAUGCAGCUGAGAAAUGUGUCAUGAUAAAAUCUUUCAUUUUGGUUGAUAAUUUUUAACCAUUUGUAAUUUUAAUAUUAAGAUUCAUUUUGGAUUUUAGCACUUUAAAUUGAAUGUAACCACCUUAGCCUAUUUAUCACCAAGGUAAUGCUUUUGAUGUUAACACAACAAUGAAAAACACACAGAAACAAAAAUGAAAAAGGAAAACCGAAUGAUCUCACCUUAAAGCACAUUAGAUAAAAAUGCAAUUAAAGCCUGAAGGGCGACCAGGGUGAAGCUUCUGCAUCACCCUGAUGUUAUAAUUCAGAGUGGCUGGACUACACCGGGUGUCAUCGGAAAGGGAUCCUGCACCGACCUUUGUUCACCCCGACAUGAAGUCCUUCAGCCCUUAGAGAAGGCUGCAGGGAGUCUGUUGUUUAGGCAGCGGUGUAGGAUGUUUUCAUGCUGUAAAGCUCAUCCCAUAAGAGCAACCGCUGUCCUCAAGACCUGCAGCUUCCACCAGAGGAGGUUCAUGAGACCCAGGCAGUGGCAAACUAGCGCACCUUAGGAGACCUGUACAGAAACUAUGGGGAAACGUAGACAGGGAGAAGGAGCUCCAUUAUCAAGUGAUAUGGUAGACUGUUAUGAGCCACGGAGGAGGCAAGUUUGUUUUGUUCAUGCAGCAGAACUUUGUAUUUUUUUUGUGUGUUUUCAUGGCGGGUUGCAUUAAUGCAUUUCAGUGAAACUAUCAAAGAAGUUUCAAACUAAUUUUGAUUGCUAGAACCCAUCACUGUAGUUUUAUCCCCCAGGACAAAUCAUGUUGGACUGAAAAAGUCUUCACACUAUUAAUUGAGACAGUAAAGUGACUAUUAAAACCUAGUGGAAGGUAUGCUAAUUUUCUCAUCGCUGCAACCAGCUUAUGUCACUUAUGUAUUGCCUUUACUUUUCAAACCCAGAGGCUAUAUUCAUGUUUUUUAUAGAAUCUAUGAUUAGGAAGGACAAAUACAUGUGUUCUUACCAUUAAAGGGGAAGCAUUUUCUCUGAAAUCAGUGGCUUUCAUUGGCAUCUAGAGGCAGGAAAAGGGCUAAAUACAAACUGUCAGCAUUGCAACAACAUGCAGCAGGUGUUUUAUUCUUGCCUGACCUCCUGUAUCACAUUAUAUCACACUUACUGAUGGAUGCUGGAAUCUUUUCCAUGUUGCUCCAUAAUCAGAAGGGAAAAAAAAGGCAAACACACACAAGGCAAAUCCAGCGGCAGCCUGAUCACGCCUGACACUUUACUGCAUCCAUUAAUUUUUAUGGUCUGUGACUCAGAUGUAUGUAUCCUAGUUAAUGUUACAAAGUGAAAGCCCGAGGGCCGGUGCGGCUUCUUAUGUGCCACAUUUUCUCAGCUUGAAUGCAAAGACGUCAUCUCAGAGUGACAUAUUCUUAGCUGACGAAGCCCACGUCCAGACACAUGUUCCCGAUUUUCAGAAUGACAUUAAAAUCACAUUGGUUUGCCAGUUUUCUGUUGACAGGCAGCGUCACGGCAGUUUUAAAGGAGGAACAUCUAAAAUACUGUGUUUUACAAAGCAGUGGUGGAAAGCAAGUCAGUAUAUUUACUCAAAUAAUGUACUUUAUUGUACAUUUGAGGUACUUCGCUCAAAAUAUUCUUCUUCUUUAGUCUGCUCGUAUUUCAGAUGUCUGAGUUGUAACAGCUCCAUCAGCCCCCCCAAACCGAUCGCUUGGUUUUGUUUCAAUAAAUGCUCAAAUGGUUCAAUAUCUCACCAAAAACCAAAGAUGAUCUGUUCCUAUAUAUAACUGAAUAUAAAGUAGAAGCUCCACCUGCAGAAGCAACCACACUAAGAUGCAGUCGACACCGAUGCUUCACUAUUAAUAAUCUAUUGAUGGCACAUUUAGUAAUAUAUCAGUCAGAGGGACCAAAAUGUGACUUUCACUACAAUACUUUAACUGCAUUUUGCUGCUAAAUUAAGUCCUUUUACAAAAGGAGGAUUUUUCCAAAUCUGUAGAUUAUUUUCCCUUUUAUAUGUUGGUAUUUUUACCUAAGUAAAGGAUCUGAAUGCCUUGAAAAGACCCAAAAAAACAAUAAUCAGAGUAAUGAGUACUGUCUGUGUAUAAAGUACCUUCCUCUUUGUUCCAUUUGACAUGUCACUUAAUUAUCCGAACAUGUUGUUUAUUUUUAGUUGAUUCCACCAACACCCUCCUGCUGCCGUAAACAGUGACAAGGACAAAUAAUGUGUAUUAAUCUGCCUCCAGAAAUAGUUCCCGACAAAUGUUCUAUUUACUUCUGUUUGAGCAACGUUUGCUGGAAACUGGCUGUGUUUAGAAAAGUUGCCUCAUCGACAGAAACAGGUCACAUAUUUGUAGGGAGUCGCUUCUUCUGCAAGAACGGCACAUGUGGUCGAGAAGUUGGAAAGGAAUGACUGUCCAAUAGGAGAAAAAUUAUAACACCACUUUCAUGUUUGUACAGCAAUUAAACUAUUGAAAUCUACUCUACAGCACCAGGUAGAUACAUCAGUAAUUAUGCUAAAAUAUAUAAUAUAUAAUAUAUAUGGGGCAAUAUAGACAUUGCUGCUGGAGUUUGAACCAGUCCACUAACCUCAAGCUUGCAAAUAGAUGUGCAAUUGAGAUAAUUUGCUCCCACACUUUAAUUUAACACAUAAAUAAACCUGUUAUUUAUAUACAGGCAGGUGACAAAUUAAAGAAAAAAACAGCAUGAUGUCAGACACGUUUCCAGUGGGUGUUGGACUCUGCCAGGGCUGCCGCUUGUCUCCGAUUCUGUUUGUGGUCUUCAUGGAUAGGAUCUCGAGGUGCAGCUGGGGGGAGGAGGGUGUCCAGUUUGGGGAUCUCAGGAUCGCGUCUCUGCUUUUUGCAAAUGAUGUGACUCUGUUGGAUUCCUCAGACCGUUACCUUCAGCAGCACUGGAGUGAUUUGCAGUUUAGUGUGAAACGGCGGGGAUGCGGAUCAGGACCUCCAAGUCCAAGGCCAUGGUUCUCUGUCGGAAACCGAUGGCUCGCUCCCUCCGGGUUGAGGGGGAGUUGCUUCUCCAAGCGAAGGAGUUCCAGUAUCUCAGGAUCUUGUUCACGAGUGAUGGGAAAAUGGAGCGAGAGAUCUACAGGUGGAUUGGUGCGGCAUCAGCAGUAAUGCGGGCAUUGUACCAGACCGUUGUGGUGAAGAGGGAGCUCAGCCGCAAAGUGAAGCUCUCAACUUACCUGUCCAUCUAUGUUCCAACCCUCGUCUAUGGUCACGAGCUCUGGGUAGUGACCGAAAGAAUGAAAUCGCGGGUGCAAGCGGCCAAAAUGAGCUUCCUCUGUAGGGUAGCUGGGCUCAGCCUUAGAGAUAGGGUGAGAAGCUCAGACAUCCGGAGGGAGUUUGGAGUACAGCCGCUGCUCCUUCACGUCGAAAGGUGGUGGUUUGGACACCUGAAUCGGAUACUUCCGGGGAGACUUCCUUUGGAGGUUUUCCAAACGCAUCUGACUGGGAGGAGACUCUGGGGCAGACCCAGAACCCGCUGGAGGGAUUAUGUAUCUCAUCUGACCUGAGAACGCCUCGGGAUCUCCCAGGAAGAGCUGGAAAAUGUCGCCAAGGGUAGGGGCAUUUGGAAUGACCUGCUUCGUCUGCUGACUCUGCGACCCGACCCCAGAUAAGUGGAAGAAGAUGGAUGGAUAGAUGGAUGGAUGGAUGGAUGGAUGGAUGGAUGGAUGGAUGGAUGGAUGGAUGGAUAGAUAAAGUGUCCUAUUAAGGUGUUGUGCUGCCAGAACAGCUUCAAACUAUUGAUUUUUCAAUUAUCUGCAACUCUACUAGAGGGGUGAACUCAAUUUUUCCAAAAGAUAUUCUUUUAUUUGAUGUUUUGAAGAUGGUGCUGGAGAGUACUGGAUAACACGUUGGUCUCCUUUAGGUGUUCAGUCUGUUAAAACCUGCUGACUGUGAAGGUCUUAAUAUGUGAUUCACACAAUUUUAAUCAAACCAUUCAGUGACCCCUCACGCCUUUGGGAUGGAGGCAUUCUCAUCUUGGAACAACUCUGUAUUGAUUUGUAGUGACUCUUGCAUCUAAAGGGACAAAUGGACCCAAACCACAGCAGCAAAAUGCCACCAGAUCUCCUCACUGUAGGGGUCUAGCAUUCAGUGAAGGAUGAAUGAUCAGACUCUUUGUUCCACUGAUCUCUGCAGAUCAGUGGUUUUUGCACCUCUGGCCUCUCAAAUGUGCAUUUGUCUUUAUAAUUUGAGGUUUAUGUACUCCAGCGCUGCUACAAAAACCCUCUCUAGAGUUGUAAUGCCAGGAUUACUUGGAGAUCUGUAGUCAUUUGGAAUAAAUGCAAAGGUCACUUGCCAUAUUUUACCAAACCCAGGGGAGCUUGGAUUGUAUUAGUGAAUUGGCAUCUUUGUGAUUUGUGCUCAGGUUUGCAUUUUCUGCAGCUUUCAUUUGUCUCUUUCUUGCUCAAGAGUUAUUAAAGCUGCUUUGGCAAUUAUGAAUGAAAUUUUAGAGAUUUUUUUGAUGCAAAAUCUUGAGGCUUGUGUAGCCGAUUCACAGAAAGCUCAGAUUCAAAAUAUACUUUUAAUGGAUGACAUGUGUUGGAGCAAAAUCUCAUUCUACCAGGAAAACAGACUAUGUGUGAGAUAGCUCCUGCGCAUUCGUUGAAUGAAGCGAUAGGAGAAGGUACUUAGGUCUCAUUAAACAUGUUUAUUUAACAGCAGAUUGAAUAUAGGACAGAGCUCUGGAUCCAAACUUCUAUCCCUGACAACAACAGAGUUCUUGUCAGUUCACGAAGUCUACACACUAUUCUUCCCCUGACCCAGCCUUAUAUCAAGUUUCACAGGUGCGGAAGCAUUCAGGGUGUCUUUCUGCUGGUUGGUUGUCUUCUGCGCAUCUGACCCCCUACUUUGCAUAUGAGCAGCCAUCUUCUUUUCCCAAUCUGGAUGCUCUGAACCUCACAGCCCUAAAGAUGGUUCCCCUCUCUUUGUGGGGGAGGAUGAAACGUCAGCAGUUGUUCUUAUCUGUGAAACAGAGUCUCCAUCAUAACUUUUCACCUAGUUCUUUUCCACUCUUGCAUACCUCCCGUAUUCAGUAUUUUUCCAUCUUCAUAGGCAGUGUAAAACAUCAUCAUAAACAGUGUAAAACAUUAGAAAUAUGAUUCUAUAAAAGCAAGCAAUUAGUCUAAAACAUAUGAUUCUAUAAAAGCAAGCCAUUAGUAUAAAAACAGUAUAAGAACUCCAUUUAAAAAUAUCAAAAAUCCCACACAUGGCAGUAUGGAACAUUUUGCAGGUCAAAAGCUAUUAUAUUGCAGCCUAUUAAUAUAAUAUCUUGAGAUAGAUGAAACAUAGAAUUAAGUGGUAAUUUCAAAAUCAUAUGAGAUCUACAUGUAAUAUUAGUCCUAUACAACCUGGCCUUAAGUAAUUUUCAUGGAACUGUCAGUCACCUGAGGAAGAAUGGUUCAUUUUUUUUCUUACAUAUUGUACUAAUACACAUCAAACUACAUAAUGGAACAGUGGUUUCUCUAAUUUCUCCACCAAGGAACGGCGGAGUUAUGUGACGUUCGGCGUACGUUUGUCUGUGAGUCUGUCUGUAUGUCUGUCUGUCCGUGUGAAACAUUACUCAAAAACAGAGUAACGGAUUUGGAUGAAAUUUUCAGUGGAAGUCAGAAAUGACAUAAGGUCAUUAAAUGCUCACAGUGAUGCGGAUUAUAGUCUGGAUCCACGGCUUUGUUAAGGAUUUCCCAUUGUCAGAUAUAGCUGCCAGCACAGCGUCACUGUAACCAUGACAACAAGUGAACACUGUUUCAGUUACCUGCUGAUGAUCACAUGAUUGCGAUCCUACUACAAAUGACUGUGAUUUAUCAGUUGGAAAUGAUACAAGGAACAAAUGAUUAAACUGUGGGGUGUUUCUGAGUCCCAUCAAUUCCUGCCGCCCGCUACAUAUUUAGGUCACUCAAUGUAGCAAACCCCAGCCAGACAAUGGAAACCCCGUGCCAUAUGAUGAAAUAAUGUAAAGGAGGCCAUGAAAAACACUAUGGUAAGGUUUUCUUUGAAAAAAAAAAAUCAGCAUGAAUUUUGGCGCAAAAAAAACGCCUUACUAUACUAUGUCGAAAAAAAAUGCCAUUUUUCAAACAUGUUGUAAAAACGUGCCAUAUGAUGAAAUAAUGUAAAGGAGGCCGUGAAAAACACUCCAGAAAGGUUUUCUUUGAAAAAAAAAUCAUCAUGAAUUUUGGCGCAAAAAAAACGCCUUACUAUACUAUGUCGAAAAAAAAUGCCAUUUUUCAAACAUGUUGUAAAAACGUGCCAUAUGAUGAAAUAAUGUAAAGGAGGCCGUGAAAAACACUCCAGAAAGGUUUUCUUUGGAAAAAAAAUCAUCAUGAAUUUUGGCGCAAAAAAACGCCUUACUAUACUAUGUCGAAAAAAAAAUUGCAUUUUUCAAACAUGUUGUGAAAACCUGCCAAAUGAUGAAAUAAUGUAAAGGAGGCCGUGAAAAACACUCCAGAAAGGUUUUCUUUGAAAAAAAAAUCAUCAUGAAUUUUGGCGCAAAAAAAACGCCUUACUAUACUAUGUCGAAAAAAAAU